rnacentral:rRNA from 1 species
GUUUGAUCCUGGCUCAGGACGAACGCUGGUGGCGGGCCUAACACAUGCAAGUCGAACGAGGCUUUCCGGUGCUUGCACUGGAAAAUCGAGUGGCGAACGGGUGAGUAAUACAUGAGAAACCUGCCUUGGAGACGGGGACAACCUCGGGAAACUGAGGCUAAUACCCGAUAUCCCUGCCGAGUCGCAUGACUUGGCAAGAAAAUACUCAGGUGCUCCAAGAGGGUCUCAUGCCCUAUCAGCUUGUUGGUGAGGUAAAAGCUCACCAAGGCUUAGACGGGUAGCUGGUCUGAGAGGACGAUCAGCCACACUGGGACUGAGACACGGCCCAGACUCCUACGGGAGGCAGCAGUGGGGAAUCUUGCGCAAUGGGCGAAAGCCUGACGCAGCCACGCCACGUGUGGGACGGCGGCCCUCGGGUUGUAAACCACUUUCAGCAGGGACGAAAAUGACGGUACCUGCAGAAGAAGCCCCGGCCAACUACGUGCCAGCAGCCGCGGUAACACGUAGGGGGCGAGCGUUGUCCGGAAUUACUGGGCGUAAAGGGCUCGUAGGCGGUUUGGUAAGUCAGAUGUGAAAACUCCAGGCUCAACUUGGAGACGCCAUCUGAUACUGCCAUGACUAGAGUUUGGUAGAGGAGUGCAGAAUUCCCGGUGUAGCGGUGAAAUGCGCAGAUAUCGGGAGGAAUACCAGUCAGCGAAGGCGGCACUCUGGGCCACAACUGACGCUGAGGAGCGAAAGCGUGGGGAGCGAACAGGAUUAGAUACCCUGGUAGU